rnacentral:sRNA from 1 species
CGUGCCGAUUCGAUCGGGAUACUCAUCAAAUAACAUUGAAACUCGGGCUGUCUUCUCUUGCCGAUGGCGGGCCACUAACCAAGCUUCCCAACCGAAUGCCGGUGGAUUACAAAGACGGAGAGCACCCAUAUCUUGUGACCAAGGAGUUUUCAUCACAUCAGCGGUGCGCCCCUUUU